GGAUAACCUGCCCAAGGGUCCGGGAUAACCCCGGGAAACUGGGGAUAAUACCGGAUGGAUCACUUAUGCUGGAAUGCUUGGUGGUCGAAAGGUGACGCCCUUGGAUGGGUCUGCGGCGGAUUAGGUUGACGCCGGUGUAACGUACCGGCGUGCCUGUAAUCCGUACGGGUUGUGGGAGCAAGAGCCCGGAGAUGGAUUCUGAGACACGAAUCCAGGCCCUACGGGGCGCAGCAGGCGCGAAAACUCUACAAUGCAGGCAACUGCGAUAGGGGGACAUCGAGUGGCAUCCACCUUGGGUGCCUGUCCCACCGUCUAAAAAACGGUGGUUAGCAAGGGCCGGGCAAGACCGGUGCCAGCCGCCGCGGUAAUACCGGCGGCUCGAGUGGUGGCCGAUAUUAUUGAGUCUAAAGGGUCCGUAGCCGGCUUGGCAAGUCUCUUGGGAAAUCCGGCGGCUUAACCGUCGGUCGUCCGGGAGAUACUACUUUGCUUGGGACUGGGAGAGGCGUGAGGUACUCAGGGGGUAGGAGUGAAAUCCUGUAAUCCUUUGGGGACCACCGGUGGCGAAAGCGUCACGCCAGAACAGGUCCGACGGUGANGGACGAAAGCUAGGGGCACGAACCGGAUUAGAUACCCNGGUAGUCCUANCCGUAAACGAUGCUCGCUAGGUGUCACGACAAUCGUGAAUUGNCGUGGUGCCGUAGGGAANCCGNGAANCGAGCCACUUGGGAAAUACCACCGCAAGGGUGAAACUUAA
rnacentral:rRNA from 1 species